rnacentral:rRNA from 1 species
CCCUUAGAUGUUCUGGGCCGCACGCGCGCUACACUGAUGCAUUCAACGAGCCUAUCCUUGACCGACAGGUCCGGGUAAUCUUUGAAUCUGCAUCGUGACGGGGAUAGAUUAUUGCAAUUAUUAAUCUUCAACGAGGAAUGCCUAGUAGGCGCAAGUCAUCAGCUUGCGUCGAUUACGUCCCUGCCCUUUGUACACACCGCCCGUCGCUCCUACCGAUUGGGUGUGCUGGUGAAAUGUGCGGAUCGGCCGUUUGUCGCGGUUUCCGCGUCAUGUGGCUGAGAAGUUCAUUAAACCCUCCCACCUAGAGGAAGGAGAAGUCGUAACA